rnacentral:rRNA from 1 species
CGUAGGCAGCGAGCGUUGUUCGGAGUUACUGGGCGUAAAGGGUGUGUAGGCGGUUCUUUAAGUUUGGCGUGAAAUCUCCCGGCUCAACCGGGAGGGUGCGUCGAAUACUGAGGGACUAGAGUACGGGAGAGGAAAGUGGAAUUCCUGGUGUAGCGGUGAAAUGCGUAGAUAUCAGGAGGAACACCGGUGGUGUAGACGGCUUUCUGGACCGUAACUGACGCUGAGACACGAAAGCGUGGGUAGCAAACAGGAUUAGAUACCCUGGUAGUCCACGCCCUAAACGAUGCAUAUUUGGUGUGGGUCAUUCAGUUGAUCCGUGCCGGAGCUAACGCGUUAAAUAUGCCGCCUGGGGAGUACAGUCGCAAGGCUG